rnacentral:rRNA from 1 species
CUUCCGCAAUGCGCGAAAGCGUGACGGAGCGAUGCCGCGUGCAGGAUGAAGCCCUUCGGGGUGUAAACUGCUGUCAGGGUUUAGGAAGCACGUGACGGUACCUUCAGAAGAAGCCCCGGCCAACUACGUGCCAGCAGGCCGCGGUAAUACGUAGGGGGCGAACGUUGUCCGGAUUUAUUGGGCGUAAAGAGCCCGUAGGCGGCUCAACAGGUCGGCCGUGAAAACCCGGGGCUCAACCCCGGGACGCCGGUCGAAACUGUUGUGGCUAGGGUUCGGUAGAGGAGAGUGGAAUUCCCGGUGUAGCGGUGAAAUGCGCAGAUAUCGGGAGGAACACCAGUAGCGAAGGCGGCUCUCUGGGCCGAUACCGACGCUGAGGAGCGAAAGCUAGGGGAGCAAACAGGAUUAGAUACCCUGGUAGUCCUAGCUGUAAACGUUGGGCACUAGGUGUGGCGGACUCAUUGACGUCUGCCGUGCCGCAGCUAACGCAUUAAGUGCCCCGCCUGGGGAGUACGGUCGCAAGGCUA